rnacentral:rRNA from 1 species
UACGAAGGGGGCUAGCGUUGUUCGGAUUUACUGGGCGUAAAGCGCACGUAGGCGGCUCGACAAGUCGGGGGUGAAAUCUUUCGGCUCAACCGGAAAAGGGCCUCCGAUACUGUUGAGCUCGAGGGAGGUAGGGGCGGACGGAACUUCCGGUGGAGCGGUGAAAUGCGUUGAUAUCGGAAGGAACGCCGGUGGCGAAAGCGGUCCGCUGGCCCUCUACUGACGCUGAGGCGCGAAAGCCAGGGGAGCAAACGGG